GCGGAGGGAUCCGAAAAUCCGUAGAAAAGAGUAGGAA
rnacentral:ncRNA from 1 species